CCAGAGGGCGCUGCAUUUCCUGACUGCUGUGGUGAUCAACGCGCAGCUUCCACUCCGCCAUUCACAUAGGAGGAAGAGCCUGGAGGAGAUGGCUGCCCUGAUAGAGAGCUCUCAAGUGAAUGUGGCGGAGGCCAUAGUGGGAGUUCAGGCCACGGGGAAAGGGAAUGCAGAGGUAGUAGUGGAACCCACGGCAAAUGCCGGGAUAGGGUCAGUGGCAGCGGCAGUCACCACUUCUUUCACUGAAGCCGGGGCUAUAGCAAAAGAAGGGGAGGCUUGUGGGGCGGUUCAAACCGUUCCGAAGAUUCUUUUGGCCUGGGUGGAACCCUCAGUUCAAAAAUUGGAAAUGGAGAAACUUGAGAGGCCCAAGGCAGGCCUUUCCAUGAAGCUGGGCAGAGGCGGUGACCCACAGAUCGACAUGUCUCUGGAUGACAUCAUAAAGCUCCAACGCAGGGCACAGGCCCGUAACCAGGCCUAUUAUGAUGGAAGAAGAGACUAUGAUGGAUACAGAUACUAUUACCAAAGAGGAUUUUAUGAAGGACCCCAGCGGAUAAGGAGGUGGUCUGGACGCCAGAAUAAUUACAGAAGAACCAUUCAGAAUUUAUCCAAGCCAAGGACAUAUUCUUCAGGCAACAGGUCAUUCAGCAGAAACAAUGCAGCUUAUGAGGAGGAUGAAGAUGACGAAUCAACAACUAGGCAGUUCCAGAACCAAAAUAACCACUUUGAGAGACGUGGAAGACGACCAACACGUGGACAAGAGAGAAAUCCAUUUUCGAGUGAUGCGAGAAGAGGGAAGAGGCAGGGGCAGCAGAGGGAUGAUGAAGUGACCCAGGUAUCCCCAUCAAAAUCCCACUCAUCUGAGCGGAAAUCGACAAACAAAAGCAGCUUUCCUGGUAGGUACCAAGUCCAACUCAAACCUGGAGCCAUCCUCACAAUUUGUAUUGAAAAUUCUCAAGUGGAUCAAGAUGAUCAAUCGGACAGAAGCAGCGAUGAGGAAAUUUCAGAUGUCAAAGAAAAGCCUACCUUACCCAAGACUGAGAAAUUCGAGCCCAAAGGGAUCGCCUUGAAAUACAAUUUCCGGGCUCUCGGCAAUCAGACUAAAAUAACACUCCAUGAGAGAUUCUCCAUCCUGCAGCGGAUGAGGGGGAGCGUCACCGUUCCCAGAUCUAGGAACAGAACCGUCACCCUGCCCUAGGUGUUCACCAUCACGGCAGGACAGAGCCAGUCGUCUUUCAAUGCAUUUUUCACGACUGGUGUCUCUUCUAAUUGUUUGUUAAUAGAAAGUUUCAGUUCUCACCUAAAAUUGUUAAGCCGUAAUCUCAGUUAUUCAUUCAAAUCAGUUUUGUAGGAAGACCCAGUAUACCCAGAGGGGACAGUCCCUGUGGGCUCUACAUUCAGGCUCCUUUCCCAGAAAAGGGACCAGGUGAGGGAGAAGGGGUGGAGCGUCUGGAUGGUUUCUAGUUGUUACUUCAGCCUUAUAGCAUCAGAGGGCUCUUUCGGGCCAAGUUUACUGAGGAGCUCAGCUCCCAUUCUGCUCCAGCAUUAGUGUAGACUAGUCCCAUGGGCCUGGCCCAACCUCAGCGGGGCUUUGUAAAACAUCCGAGCAUUGGCUGGUAUGUUGUACACGCACUAAAUAAAGACUUUGAAAACAAGGCCUCGACUCA
ensembl:lncRNA